rnacentral:rRNA from 1 species
AGGUCUUACCUGCCCAGUGACAAGUUAAACGGCCGCGGUAUUUUGACCGUGCAAAGGUAGCGCAAUCACUUGUCUUUUAAAUGAAGACCUGUAUGAAUGGUGGAACGAGGGCUUAACUGUCUCCCCUUUCAAGUCAAUGAAAUUGAUCUGCCCGUGCAGAAGCGGACAUAUAAAUACAAGACGAGAAGACCCUUUGGAGCUUAAGACACAAGAUCAACUAUGUCAAUGCAAUAAACAUUAAAUCAAACUAAAUAGUACCUGAUCCUCGUCUUCGGUUGGGGCGACCACGGAAGAAAACAAAGCUUCCAUGAGGACUGAAGCCACAGGCUUUAAAACCAAGAAAGACAUUUCUAAGUAGCAGAAUAUCUGACCAUAAAGAUCCGGCGAUCAAGCCGAUCAACGAACCAAGUUACCCUAGGGAUAACAGCGCAAUCCUCUUUAAGAGUCCAUAUCGACAAGAGGGUUUACGACCUCGAUGUUGGAUCAGGACAUCCUAAUGGUGCAGCCGCUAUUAAGGGUUCGUUUGUUCAACGAUUAAAGUCCUACGUG